rnacentral:rRNA from 1 species
AUGUUUGAUGGCAGAGGGUUCGAUCUGGCUCAGAUUGAGGAACACUGGCGAGUCACUUUUACGUACAAGUCCGAACGGCAGCACGGACUUCAGUCUGGUGGCGAGUGGCGAACGGGUGAGUAAUGUAUCGGAACGUGCCUAGUAGCGGGGGAUAACUACGCGAAAGCGUAGCUAAUACCGCAUACGCCCUUCCAGGGAAAGCGGGGGACCUUCGGGCCUCGCACUAUUAGAGCGGCCGGUAUCGGAUUAGCUAGUUGGUGGGGUAACGGCUCACCAGGCGACGAUCAGCAACUGGUUUGAGGAGGACGACCAGCCCACACUGGGACUGAGACACGGCCCAGACUCCUACAGGAGGCAGCGGUGAAAUUUUGGACAAUGGAAACCCUGGUCCAGCCAUCCCGCGUGUGCGAUGAAGGCCUUCGGGUUGUAAAGCACUUUUGGCAGGAAAGAAACGGCACGGGAUAAUACCCCGUGCAACUGACGACACCUGCAGAAUAAACACCAGCUAACUACGUGCCAGCAGCCGCGGUAAUACGUAGGGUGCAAGCGUUAAUCGGAAUUACUGGGCGUAAAGCGUGCGCAGGCGGUUCGGAAGAAAGAUGUGAGAAAUCCCAGAGCUUAACUUUGGAACUGCAUUUUAACUACCGAGCUAAGUGUGUCAGAGGAGGUGGAAUUCCGCGUGUAGACAGUGAAAUGCGUAGAUAUGCACGGAGGAACACCGAUGGCGAAGGCAGCCUCCUGGGAUAACACUGACGCUCAUGCACGAAAGCGUGGGGAGCAAACAGGAUUAGAUACCCUGGUAGUCCACGCCUAACGAUGUCCAGCUAGCUGUUGGGGCCUUCGGGCGCUUGGUAGCGCAACUAACGCGUGAAGUUGACCGCCUGGGGAGUACGGUCGCAAGAUUAAAACUCAAGGAAUUGACGGGGACCCGCACAAGCGGUGGAUGAUGUGGUUAAUUCGAUGCAACGCGAAAAACCUUACCUACCCUUGACAUGUCUGGAAUCCCGAAGAGAUUUGGGAGUGCUCGCAAAGAGAACCGGAACACAGGUGCUGCAUGGCUGUCGUCAGCUCGUGUCGUGAGAUGUUGGGUUAAGUCCCGCGCGAGCGCAACCCUUGUCAUUAGUUGCUACGAAGGGCACUGCAAUGAGACUGCCGGUGACAAACCGGAAGAUUGGGAUGACGUCAAGUCCUCAUGACCCUUAUGGUGGGGCUUCACACGUCAUACAAUGGUCGGGACAUGGGGUCGCCAACCCGCGAGGGGAGACCAAUCCGAAGCCCGAUCGCCCUUCAGGUCGCAGUCUGCAACUCGACUGCGUGAAGUCAGAAUCUUCGUAAUCGCGGAUCAGCAUGUCGCGGUGAAUACGUUCCCGGGUCUUGUACACACGCACGUCACACCAUGGGAGUGGGUUUUACCGAAGUAGUUAGCCUAACCGUAAGGAGGGCGGUCACCGCAUUAGGAUUCAUGACUGGGGUGAAGUCGUAACAAGGUAG